rnacentral:lncRNA from 1 species
UUCAAAUCCAGUGGAAUAGCCUCUAAUAAAAUGCUGAUUAUAUUACAGGUGCAAAUUGAGCAUGACCCAGAAUUAGAAAAAGAAAGUUGAUGAGGAAUCUGGAUUAAAGGAUUCAGAACCAGAGCGAAAACGCAAGAAGACUGAAGACUCUUCUUCAGGCAAAUCAGUGGCGUCUGAUGUCCCUGAGGAAUUAGACUUUCUUGUACCUAAGGCUGGAUUCUUCUGUCCAAUUUGUUCCCUCUUCUACUCAGGUGAAAAAGCAAUGACAAAUCACUGCAAGAGUACACGUCAUAAGCAAAAUACUGAGAAAUUCAUGGCCAAGCAAAGAAAGGAAAAGGAGCAGAAUGAGGCUGAAGAAAGAAGCUCUAGGUGAUUGGGGGAAAGGAAAGAAUUCACUAGAAAUUUGUUUAGGGUCCAGUUGAUUUGUGUAUUUUUGUUAUCAUUUAAUUUGUAAUUUUCGUUUCAGAAGCAAAUAUUCGUGUUGUACAAAUUUCUGAUUGCCCUAAAUGUAGAGAGACUGAUGGGGAAAGUAUGAUGGGUUUGAUUUUUAUAUCAAAUCAUCAGGCAUGGAGAAAUAUCUUUUAGAAGUGUUAAAAUAAAUGUUCCUACUGUAUAUUUAAAAUA